rnacentral:rRNA from 1 species
UACGGAGGGUGCAAGCGUUAUCCGGAUUCACUGGGGUUAAAGGGUGCGUAGGAGGGCAGGUAAGUCAGUGGUGAAAUCUCCGAGCUUAACUUGGAAACUGCCGUUGAUACUAUCUGCCUUGAAUAUUGUGGAGGUGAGCGGAAUAUGUCAUGUAGCGGUGAAAUGCUUAGAUAUGACAUAGAACACCAAUUGCGAAGGCAGCUCGCUACGCAUAUAUUGACUCUGAGGCACGAAAGCGUGGGGAUCAAACAGG